rnacentral:rRNA from 1 species
GACGAACGCUGGCGGCGUGCCUAAUACAUGCAAGUCGAACGCAGUGGGGGCGGGUGAGUAACACGUGCGUAACCUCCCAUCAGAGGGGAUAACACUUGGAAACAGGUACUAAAUCCGAUACUGAUGGAUGGACCCGCGGUGCAUUAGCUAGUUGGUGAGGUAACGGCUCCCCAAGGCCACGAUGCAUAGGCUACCGGAUAGGAUGAGAAGCAACACUGGGACUGAGACACGGCCCAGACUCCUACGGGAGGGAGCAGUAGGGAAUCGUCGGCAAUGGACGAAAGUCUAACCGGGAAACGCCGCGUGAGUGAAGAAGGUAUUCGUAUCGUAAAACUAUGUUGUUAGAGAAGCGGUAUCUAACCAGAAAGCCACGGCUAACUACGUGCCAGCAGCCGCGGUAAUUC